rnacentral:sRNA from 1 species
AGCUUGUCCGGGUCCACGGCGCGUGAGGUGAGCAGGUAGUCGCGCAUCACGAUGCCGUGGCGUCCCUC